GCCAGACUCCUACGGGAGGCAGCAGUGAGGAAUAUUGGUCAAUGGCCGGAAGGCUGAACCAGCCAAGCCGCGUGAAGGACGAAGGUGCCAAGCAUUGUAAACUUCUUUUGUCAAGGGACAAAAUCAGGCUCGAGAGCCUGACCGAGGGCACUUGAAGAAAAAGCAUCGGCUAACUCCGUGCCAGCAGCCGCGGUAAUACGGAGGAUGCGAGCGUUAUCCGGAUUUAUUGGGUUUAAAGGGUGCGUAGGCGGACUGUUAAGCAGGGGGUAAAAGCCGGGGGCCCACCCCCGGCGAGCCGUUGAAACUGGCUGUCUUGAGAUGUCGAGAGGUAUGCGGAAUGCGCAGUGUAGCGGUGAAAUGCUUAGAUAUCGCGCAGAACUCCGAUUGCGAAGGCAGCAUGCCGGCUCCACACUGACGCUGAGGCACGAAAGCGUGGGUAUCGAACAGGAUUAGAUACCCCCGUA
rnacentral:rRNA from 1 species